GACGAACGCUGGCGGCGUGCUUAACACAUGCAAGUCGUACGGUAAGGCCCUUUCGGGGGUACACGAGUGGCGAACGGGUGCGUAACACGUGAGUAACCUGCCCACAACUUUGGGAUAACGCUAGGAAACUGGUGCUAAUACUGGAUAUGUGCUCCUUCUGCAUGGUGGGGGUUGGAAAGCUCCGGCGGGUGUGGAUGGACUCGCGGCCUAUCAGCUUGUUGGUGGGGUAGUGGCCUACCAAGGCGGCGACGGGUAGCCGGCCUGAGAGGGUGACCGGCCACAUUGGGACCGAGGUAAGGCCCAGGCUCCUACGGGGGGGAGGAGGGGGGAAUAUUGAACAAUGGGCGCGAGCCGGAUGCAGCAACGCCGCGGGCGGGAUGACGGCCUUCGGGGUGGAAAACGAUUUCAGCAGGGACGAAGCUGUUUGUGACGGUACCUGCAGAAGAAGCACCGGCUAACUACGUG
rnacentral:rRNA from 1 species